GACGAACCGUCCGAACGUUAUUCGGUAUCACUGGGCUUAAAGAGUUCGUAGGCGGCCUAGUAGGUGAGAUGUGAAAUCCCACGGCUCAACCGUGGAACUGCGUUUCAAACCACUAGGCUUGAGGGAGAUAGAGGUGAGUGGAACAGAUGGUGGAGCGGUGAAAUGCGUUGAUAUCAUCUGGAACACCGGUGGCGAAAGCGGCUCACUGGAUCUCUUCUGACGCUGAGGAACGAAAGCUAGGGUAGCGAACGGGAUUAGAUACCCGGGUAGUCC
rnacentral:rRNA from 1 species